rnacentral:rRNA from 1 species
GACGAACGCUGGCGGCGUGCUUAACACAUGCAAGUCGAACGAAGUGGCGAACGGGUGAGUAACGCGUAAUCCACCUGCCCUUCAGAGGGGGACAACAGUUGGAAACGACUGCUAAUACCGCAUACUGAAGGAGGGGAUUGCGUCUGAUUAGCUAGUUGGAGGGGUAACGGCCCACCAAGGCGAUGAUCAGUAGCCGGGCUGGGAGGAUGAAACGCACAAAUGGGAAUGGGAAAAGGGCCAAGCUCCUAAGGGGGGCAACAAGGGGGAAUCUUCCGGAAUGGAGGAAAGGCUGACGGAGGAAAGCCGGGGGGGGGAUGACGGGCUUCGGGUUGUAAAGCUCUGUUAAUCGGGAAGCGGUACCGGAAUAGAAAGCCACGGCUAACUACGUGCCAGCAGCCGCGGUAAUAC